UUUGUGAAGAACUUAAGAAAUCUCUGGUUUUUUUCUGAUCUUUCUUCAGGUCGUAUUUGUCUCCCUGCAAACCUGAAAACCUUUCUGCUGAUCCCUGGGACAACAGUCCCUUCAAGUUGAUCACAGUGCAUGGAAAGAAGAAGUCCUCUCAGACAAACUACUUUGUUAAAGCCACCAAGGUGACCUGCUGUGCCCAGCUGUGGGCAGAAGGCAGCCUUUCCUGCACUGCCAAGGGAGUGUAGAAGCUGUCUGGCAUUGGCAUGCCUGGCAUUUCAUGCAUGGUGCCUAACACUAGCACAGUCAAGCCCAGGUUUCCAGGUAUGUUCUUUCUGGGCUUAAUUCUACCAUCAUGUACCAGAGCAAGUAGUAGCUUAUUCAUCAGUGAAUUUCACUCAGUCUUAGUCAGGGAGAUGGAAUUGGUCCUACAAAAGCAACAAUAGCUUUUUACCUGCGUCCUUUCCAACACUCCCUGUGUGGUCUUCCCACCACAGUAACAAACAGAAGCUCCCAGAAAGCGCCAGCAAGUUCAGAGAGAUCUGGCUCCUCAAGUUUGAAUUUUAUCAGGUAGUGUUUGCUUUAAGACCUUGAGCUACAAAAUAUCCUUUCUAGUAUUGAACUCCUGGGAAGACCUAAACCCUUCAAUGCAAUGGAGAACUAAACACUUUUAAAUAUACUUAUCUAAUGGAUGUUAGUACUGACUUUUGUGCAUGCAGCUUCUAACAUGAAUCUACCUAGCCUCUGCUUUCAGAGACCAAAGAUUAAAAUUACUUCAUCUUCUAGUCAAGAAGUCCUUAUAUUUGAUAACAGGAGUGGAUUACAAUCUCUCCCACUCUCCCUGCUAUUACCCUUCCAUCUGUUCCUGCUCAACAUAUAUGUUCUGGACAUAUAUGGACAUUGAGGAAGAGGUUUUGUGCCUACCAGCAGCUACAGUACUUGUGUGACUACUUCAGCCUGGUGCAUGGUGAUCAAGUGAAGCCAUGGGUUAAUAGCUGAAUAACUGAGCACAGCACCUCAGUACCAGCUUGCUCUGUGUGCAGUGCCUCAUCUCAGGUAUUUCUGAAAUACUUUUCUGACUUUUUAUUCUCUUUCAUUUAGGUCACAUCCAACUCCAUAUUGCAAGGUGCUGAGUAACAGCUUAUGAUCUCUAACACGUAAUGGCUCCAGGGUUUGUUUACCAACAUCCACUGGAGACUCCAGCUUUUCUGUAGAAACAGAAACUGAGCCCAGGCUUAUCCAGAUGAAAAGUUGCAGAAAUUUUAAGGAAGCCCAGAAGUCCACAUGGACUCCACAUCCAUAGAGAAGACAGCCACAGCUCAGCUUCCUGUUUUACCUCUUGGACUGCUGUGUCCCUCUGAGACAGACUCCAUUGAGAUCUCUGUGAAAUGGAUGAUGUGACUUACCAGUAUCAUACAAGCUGUUCCAAGAAUAUCAGCAGGCGGACCGGAGACUUUCCUGAGAAGGUUUUACCCAGUGAUGGAAAAUAUAUUUGUGUUAUUACUUUAGCACAAGUGUCUUCUAUAAUGCUAAGGUUUACUUUCAAAUAAAACAUAAAUUGCA